GUGCUCACUUUGGCAGCACAUAUACUUAAAUUGGAAUGAUACAAAGAAGAUUAGCAUGGCCCUGCUCAAGGAUGACAUGCAAAUUGGUGAAGCAGUUCAUGUUUUU
ensembl:snRNA U6 U6 spliceosomal RNA